rnacentral:lncRNA from 1 species
AACAGGAGAGAGAAUCUAUUGCUACAGGUUAAUCAGCCAUAAGCGGGGCUUUUUGACAAUGGAACCGUCUCAGCAAGAAGUGUAGUGCUGGGUGAAUUAAGCCAGUAGGAACCCAGCUGUGAAGCAGAGGAAGCCAAGGGUGAUGAAGAGCUCUGCAAGUUGGUUCAUUUUCUGGCAAUGAGCAGGGUUAGCUGGCUGCACUGGGACUGCUGCCUUGCAUAACCUACUUCUUCUCCAAGUGGUAGUCCAGCAGGUAGUGAGGUCAAACGGCUUAGUAACUGGAAAUAGCAGCCCUCCUCUCCCCCCUUGGAGAACAAAAUUAUUUUUUUCAGGGUGAUGCUGAUGCUACCCAGUGUGGGAAGGCCACGCUCCAGCUGGAGAAAGCCCUGAGGGAUUCUGGCAAGCUUCUUUCCUUCCUAUAGGACAGAAGUGCCUGUGUGAAACAAGGGUAUCCAACAGCACCCGUGUUGUAAGGCCUGAGCUGAGUUACCUGCUGGGAUGUCGAGGAAGCUCAUGGCCCCAUGAUAAAAUGUUUGUGAAGAUGGGCACCGCCUCCUGAAAGGCUGAGGCCAGGAGCUGAUGGUGGUGCCUUUUGAUAUCUGUGCCCUAUGAAGUACCAUGCACGGCAACACCAGAGGCUGGAUGAAGAAGGCUUACUUAGCUGUGGUUGUACGUGAAUGCUUCCAUAAAUAAGGACUCACUUGCAUGCAACAGCAAAUUUUUGCUGUUUUAAUCCACUUAGCUACCCUCAACACCAGAGCUGUGGGGGUAAACAGCAACUAGAGAUGAGGUGGCACUGUUCAUGAGGCACGCCAAACCCCUAGUGUGUUGCACCCAAAGCCCUGUUAAAGGAGUGUUAUUAAGGUUCCUAAUUCAAGCACUUAAAAUUUAGUAAAUGCCUCCCCCUUGUGCAUGUGCAUUAGGAUACAGCUUGUA